rnacentral:lncRNA from 1 species
CGGACGGACCGCGGACGGAUGUACUGACCCCAACCCGCGAGCCCCGGGAGCCGUCGGUCUGAGGAGGGGCCGCUUCGCCAUGUCGCCCCGCACCUGCUGAGCCCGGAGCGUCCGAGGAUGUCCGCGCUGAGGAAGGCUUUCUCGCCAUCCGAGGCUUGGCCCUAGCCCUGCGCGGCUUCCCUCGCGGCUGCGAACCCUCUGCCUGCGCCCA